rnacentral:rRNA from 1 species
AAUCAACGCUGGCGGCGUGCCUCAGACAUGCAAGUCGAACGAUUAAAGCUCUCUUCGGAGAGUGUAUAGAGUGGCGCACGGGUGAGUAACACGUAAGUAAUCUACCCUCGAGUGGGGAAUAACAACCGGAAACGGUUGCUAAUACCGCAUAAUGCAGCGGCACCGCAAGGUGACAGUUGUUAAAGAUUUAUCGCUUGAGGAGGAGCUUGCGGCAGAUUAGCUAGUUGGUAGGGUAACGGCUUACCAAGGCUACGAUCUGUAACCGGUCUAAGAGGACGGUCGGUCACACUGACACUGAAUAACGGGUCAGACUCCUACGGGAGGCAGCAGUCGGGAAUUUGGUCG